AGAGGCUAAAGCCCACUCCGAAAGGACGUCUUGUUAAGCAUUCAGUCGUGGAUUUGGGGGAAACAAAAAGCAGAUUUGAACUGAAAGAGUCAAUCAAAGUUAUUCACAAGGAAAUCAUCAGAAUUUUUGACGUCCUUGACUUUGAACGUGCGGGGAAAAUUCACAUUGGUCAGGUCAGAGUGGCAGUGCGAGCCCUUGGUUUUUACCCAACAGAGAAGGAGUUGACAGAGAUUGAAGAUAAGAUGGUGGAGUGUCAGAUGGAGGUGGAGGAUUUGAUGAUCGGUCUGCAAACGUUCAUUGACGUGAUGACGCACAUCACCUUGGCC
rnacentral:sRNA from 1 species